GACGAACGCUGGCGGCGUGCUUAACACAUGCAAGUGGAGCGACGAACCAGGCUUCGGCCUGGGGCAAAGCCGCGAACGGGUGAGUAUCACGUGGGUAACCUGCCCCGAUGACCGGGACAACCCGAGGAAACUCAGGCUAAUACCGGAUGUUCUCGCAGCACAUCAGUGCAGUGAGAAAAGGAAGCUUCGGCCUCCGCAUUGGGAUGGGCCCGCGGCCCAUUAGCUUGUUGGUGAGGUAACGGCGCACCAAGGCGACGAUGGGUAGCUGGUCUGAGAGGACGAUCAGCCACACUGGGACUGAGACACGGCCCAGACUCCUACGGGAGGCAGCAGUGGGGAAUCUUGCGCAAUGCGCGAAAGCGUGACGCAGCAACGCCGCGUGAGGGAAGAAGGCCUUCGGGUUGUAAACCUCUUUCAGGAGGGACGAAGGUUCAGGCGCGAGCAGCGUCCUGGACUGACGGUACCUCCAGAAGAAGCCCCGGCUAACUACGUGCCAGCCGCCGCAGUAAGAC
rnacentral:rRNA from 1 species